UACGUAGGGGGCAAGCGUUGUCCGGAAUCAUUGGGCGUAAAGCGCGUGUAGGCGGCUUGGUAAGUCCGCUCUGAAAGCCCGGGGCUCAACCCCGGGAGGCGGGUGGAUACUGUCAAGCUCGAGUCCGGAAGAGGCGAGUGGAAUUCCCGGUGUAGCGGUGAAAUGCGCAGAUAUCAGGAGGAACACCAAUUGCGAAGGCAGCUCGCUGGGACGUUACUGACGCUGAGACGCGAAAGCGUGGGGAGCAAACAGG
rnacentral:rRNA from 1 species